rfam:Harpegnathos saltator strain R22 G/1 HarSal_1.0_3.contig4935, whole genome shotgun sequence.
CGUCAGAUAGCUCAGUGGUCUAGAGCAGUCGCCCGGCAAGAAAAAGACCCGGGUUCGAUUCCCAAUCUAGCGA